GCGUGAUUAGCUCAGUGGUAGAGCACUUCUUUGACGUAGAAGGGGCCGCUGGUUCGAUCCCAGCAUCACGCA
rnacentral:tRNA from 1 species